AACGCGAAGAACCUUACCAGGGUUUGACAUCCUGGGAAUCUUUCCGAAAGGAAAGAGUGCCUUCGGGAAUCCAGUGACAGGUGUUGCAUGGCCGUCGUCAGCUCGUGUCGUGAGAUGUUUGGUUAAGUCCAUCAACGAGCGCAACCCUUAUAGUUAGUUGAAUUUCUCUAGCUAGACUGCCCCGGUAACGGGGAGGAAGGAGGGGAUGAUGUCAGGUCAGUAUUACCCUUACACCCUGGGCUACAAACACGCUACAAUGGCCGGUACAAAGGGCAGCUAAGUCGCGAGACGGAGCAAAUCCCAUCAAAGCCGGUCUCAGUUCGGAUAGCAGGCUGAAACUCGCCUGCUUGAAGCUGGAAUCGCUAGUAACGGUAGGUCAGCACACUACCGUGAAUACGUUCCCGGGCCUUGUA
rnacentral:rRNA from 1 species